AAUUGUUUAGUUUAAUGGAAUAUUUUAUUGUAGCUAAAAAGGAGUAACAAUUA
rnacentral:tRNA from 1 species